GUUAGUUGGUGGGGUAACGGCCUACCAAGACAAUGACGCGUAGCGGGUUUGAGAGGAUGAUCCGCCACACUGGUACUGAGACACGGACCAGACUCCUACGGGAGGCAGCAGUGAGGAAUAUUGCACAAUGGGGGAAACCCUGAUGCAGCAACGCCGCGUGGAGGAUGACGCAUUUCGGUGUGUAAACUCCUUUUAUGAGUCAAGAAAAUGACGGUAGCUCAUGAAUAAGCACCGGCUAACUCCGUGCCAGCAGCCGCGGUAAUACGGAGGGUGCAAGCGUUACUCGGAAUCACUGGGCGUAAAGGACGCGUAGGCGGGUUAUCAAGUCAGGUGUGAAAUCCUAUGGCUCAACCAUAGAACUGCACUUGAAACUGGUAACCUAGAGUAUGGGAGGGGCAGAUGGAAUUAGUAGUGUAGGGGUAAAAUCCGUAUGAUGGUNACUAGGAAUACCGAAAGCGAAGGCGAUCUGCUGGAACAUUACUGACGCUAAGGCGUGAAAGCGUGGGGAGCAAACAGGAUUAGAUACCCUGGUAGUCUACGCCCUAAACGAUGUUCACUAGUCGUCGCUCUGCUAGUCAGGGCGGUGAUGCACUUAACAGAUUAAGUGAACCGCCUGGGGAGUACGGCCGCAUAGAUUAAAACUCAAAGGAAUAGACGGGGACCCGCACAAGUGGUGGAGCAUGUGGUUUAAUUCGAAGAUACGCGAAGAACCUUACCUAGCCUUGACAUUGAUAGAAUUCUGCAGAGAUGUGGAAGUGCCCUUCGGGGAGCUUGAAAACAGGUGCUGCACGGCUGUCGUCAGCUCGUGUCGUGAGAUGUUGGGUUAAGUCCCGCAACGAGCGCAACCCUCGUCCUUAGUUGCCAGCAGUUUGGCUGGGCACUUUAAGGUGACUGCCUUCGCAAGGAGGAGGAAGGUGAGGACGACGUCAAGUCAUCAUGGCCCUUAUGGCUAGGGCUACACACGUGCUACAAUGGGGCGUACAGAGAGUUGCGAUACCGCGAGGUGGAGCCAAUCUCUUAAAGCGUCUCUCGGUUCGGAUUGUAGUCUGCAACUCGACUACAUGAAGCUGGAAUCACUAGUAAUCGUAGAUCAGCAAUGCUACGGUGAAUACGUUCCCGGGUCUUGUACUCACCGCCCGUCACACCAUGGGAGUUGAUUUCACCCGAAAUUGGGAAGCUAACCUUCGGGGGGCUACCACUUACGGUGGAAUUAGCGACAGGGGUGAAGUC
rnacentral:rRNA from 1 species